CGUACACUCCUACGGGAGGCAGCAGUGGGGAAUAUUGGACAAUGGGCGCAAGCCUGAUCCAGCCAUGCCGCGUGAGUGAUGAAGGCCCUAGGGUUGUAAAGCUCUUUCACCGGUGAAGAUAAUGACGGUAACCGGAGAAGAAGCCCCGGCUAACUUCGUGCCAGCAGCCGCGGUAAUACGAAGGGGGCUAGCGUUGUUCGGAUUUACUGGGCGUAAAGCGCACGUAGGCGGACUAUUAAGUCAGGGGUGAAAUCUCGGGGCUCAACCCCGGAACUGCCUUUGAUACUGGUAGUCUUGAGUUCGAGAGAGGUGAGUGGAAUUCCGAGUGUAGAGGUGAAAUUCGUAGAUAUUCGGAGGAACACCAGUGGCGAAGGCGGCUCACUGGCUCGAUACUGACGCUGAGGUGCGAAAGCGUGGGGAGCAAACAGGAUUAGAAACCCCAGUAGUCCCA
rnacentral:rRNA from 1 species